UCCCAGAAAAACUCUCCUCGUUUCCUUCGUAUCCUAUAUGAUUACUCGAACCGACGCAUGGCCGGCAAACCCUAGCGAGGGACGGAGGCAGCACAAGCCGGUGAUUAACGGCCGGCGGUGGGCAGGUAGAGGCAGAUUGGAGGAGUGCGCUAGGGGCCGCGGCGCCCUGGCGGCUGGCAACACGCGCACUGUAGACCACAUAGGAGCUCACUCUCAUCUUCUCCGAUUAAAAAUUGUUGCAAAACGAAAAAGGCACGGAUACAUUGUAUCUCUUUUUAUGCAAUACGCAACAAAGAAGAGGGUUGAUCCUCCGUUUUCAUAACCUUCUCCGACACCGGUCGCAGCCAUGGCAGAAGAGCCAAGAUGAUACAAUAGAUACUUUCAUGGCAUUGAAAAGGCGUGAUUCCGGCAAAUAAGGUGUGUUAUUUUCUUAUGCAAAUUCAGAAAUUAAACUGUGAAUUUUCAUAUUCUUUGUAAGACCUCAUUGAUGUAAGUUUUGAUAAAUUCCGUAUGAUAUGUUGGUAUGCUUUGUUUGUGGUGUAUUUUUUCUA